rnacentral:rRNA from 1 species
GUGCAGCAGGCGAGAAUUUUUCACAAUGGGCGCAAGCCUGAUGGAGCGACGCCGCGUGGGGGAUGAAUGGCUUCGGCCCGUAAACCCCUGUCAUUUGCGAUCAAACCUCAUUAUUUAAAAGAUGAUGAGCUGAUAGUAGCGAAAGAGGAAGGGACGGCUAACUCUGUGCCAGCAGCCGCGGUAAUACAGAGGUCCCAAGCGUUGUUCGGAUUCACUGGGCGUAAAGGGUGCGUAGGUGGUGAGGUAAGUCGGAAUGUGAAAGCUCGGAGCUCAACUCCGAAAUGGCAUUGGAAACUACCUUGCUCGAGGUUGAGGGGGGACUGGAAUACUUGGUGUAGCAGUGAAAUGCGUAGAUAUCAAAGUGGAACACCAGUGGCGAAGGCGAGUCCCUGGACAACUCCUGACACUGAGGCACGAAAAGCUAGGGGAGCAAACAGGAUUAGAUACCCCUGUUAGU